AUAUAUGGGUAGAAAGGAUUGCUGUGAGUUGCAAAAGCUUACUAUAGUUUAGCUCACCUUAUUUGGAACAUGGCCAAAAGUAUAUUGUCAGCGAUCUUAAAGGGUAUUUAAGAGGCAUGAGAGAUGACAGUAUUUAGAGUGCCUCUCUGGAAGGGAAAACAUCAAGUUACACUCCAUAACUUAUGGCCUCUCACAGAUGCAAACAGGCCAAUGUUGUGUUGUUCAAUGAAGGUACCUAUGUUCCGAACUAUAGGAGUCUAUGCAUCACUUUAACGCAUGACCACCCGUGCACCUGAAUGCUAUUGUGAAUUAGUAUCAAUGUAUAAAGUAGAGGAAGAGGAGUUUAUUCACUAUUCCUGGCGAAGUGCCUGUCGGAAAUGUAUGAAACGCAUAGGAUGUUCACUUGACCUGCUGUAUCACGUAUGAUGUGUUGCUGUUUUCCUUGCAAAAUAAAUUGCACUGCUUGAUGACCACA